rnacentral:rRNA from 1 species
GGGACACGUGGUAUCCUGUCUGAAUAUGGGGGGACCAUCCUCCAAGGCUAAAUACUCCUGACUGACCGAUAGUGAACCAGUACCGUGAGGGAAAGGCGAAAAGAACCCCGGCGAGGGGAGUGAAAAAGAACCUGAAACCGUGUACGUACAAGCAGUGGGAGCCUCUUAAUGGGGUGACUGCGUACCUUUUGUAUAAUGGGUCAGCGACUUAUAUUCUGUAGCAAGGUUAACCGAAUAGGGGAGCCGAAGGGAAACCGAGUCUUAACUGGGCGUUAAGUUGCAGGGUAUAGACCCGAAACCCGGUGAUCUAGCCAUGGGCAGGUUGAAGGUUGGGUAACACUAACUGGAGGACCGAACCGACUAAUGUUGAAAAAUUAGCGGAUGACUUGUGGCUGGGGGUGAAAGGCCAAUCAAACCGGGAGAUAGCUGGUUCUCCCCGAAAGCUAUUUAGGUAGCGCCUCGUGAAUUCAUCUCCGGGGGUAGAGCACUGUUUCGGCAAGGGGGUCAUCCCGACUUACCAACCCGAUGCAAACUGCGAAUACCGGAGAAUGUUAUCACGGGAGACACACGGCGGGUGCUAACGUCCGUCGUGAAGAGGGAAACAACCCAGACCGCCAGCUAAGGUCCCAAAGUCAUGGUUAAGUGGGAAACGAUGUGGGAAGGCCCAGACAGCCAGGAUGUUGGCUUAGAAGCAGCCAUCAUUUAAAGAAAGCGUAAUAGCUCACUGGUCGAGUCGGCCUGCGCGGAAGAUGUAACGGGGCUAAACCAUGCACCGAAGCUGCGGCAGCGACACUAUGUGUUGUUGGGUAGGGGAGCGUUCUGUAAGCCUGUGAAGGUGGCCUGUGAGGGUUGCUGGAGGUAUCAGAAGUGCGAAUGCUGACAUAAGUAACGAUAAAGCGGGUGAAAAGCCCGCUCGCCGGAAGACCAAGGGUUCCUGUCCAACGUUAAUCGGGGCAGGGUGAGUCGACCCCUAAGGCGAGGCCGAAAGGCGUAGUCGAUGGGAAACAGGUUAAUAUUCCUGUACUUGGUGUUACUGCGAAGGGGGGACGGAGAAGGCUAUGUUGGCCGGGCGACGGUUGUCCCGGUUUAAGCGUGUAGGCUGGUUUUCCAGGCAAAUCCGGAAAACCAAGGCUGAGGCGUGAUGACGAGGCACUACGGUGCUGAAGCGACAAAUGCCCUGCUUCCAGGAAAAGCCUCUAAGCAUCAGGUAACAUCAAAUCGUACCCCAAACCGACACAGGUGGUCAGGUAGAGAAUACCAAGGCGCUUGAGAGAACUCGGGUGAAGGAACUAGGCAAAAUGGUGCCGUAACUUCGGGAGAAGGCACGCUGAUAUGUAGGUGAAGCGACUUGCUCGUGGAGCUGAAAUCAGUCGAAGAUACCAGCUGGCUGCAACUGUUUAUUAAAAACACAGCACUGUGCAAACACGAAAGUGGACGUAUACGGUGUGACGCCUGCCCGGUGCCGGAAGGUUAAUUGAUGGGGUUAGCGGCAACGCGAAGCUCUUGAUCGAAGCCCCGGUAAACGGCGGCCGUAACUAUAACGGUCCUAAGGUAGCGAAAUUCCUUGUCGGGUAAGUUCCGACCUGCACGAAUGGCGUAAUGAUGGCCAGGCUGUCUCCACCCGAGACUCAGUGAAAUUGAACUCGCUGUGAAGAUGCAGUGUACCCGCGGCAAGACGGAAAGACCCCGUGAACCUUUACUAUAGCUUGACACUGAACAUUGAGCCUUGAUGUGUAGGAUAGGUGGGAGGCUUUGAAGUGUGGACGCCAGUCUGCAUGGAGCCGACCUUGAAAUACCACCCUUUAAUGU